ACUGGCGGCCACAGCGAGAGGGUUACACCCGUACCCAUUCCGAACACGGAAGUAAAGUCUCUCUGCGAUCCGAGCAGUACUGCCUUUUCGGCGGAAGCCUCGGGACGCUGCCAGAC
rnacentral:rRNA from 1 species